ACAGGAAUCGAGGAAUCUGAUACAGGACUGCCGUCUCCUGACAAAUGGGAUCUCAAAGCUGAUAGGCAAAUGUGGGAAAGAUCUCUUAUGGUUGCGAAAUGCACCAGCAUAAUCAACCCUAACGCUGAAGAAGCUAAAUAUGCAGUUAAUUUUGUGGGGAGAUUGCGUAAGAUGAUUGUUGGGCUGGAUGAUAGAGUUUCUCCAACUGAUAUAGAAGAAGGCAUGCGUGUUGGGUAUUGCUCCAUACUUUUACUGAUUAGUACUAAAAAUAUUACUGUGAUAUAUAUGAAGCGUAAGUACUGUCUGUUACUUCAAUUCCCUGAUCUUAACAUGCAGAAUCAUUGUAUUCAUCUAUUUCCUAACUUCACCAAUCACCACUAAGUGUUAUCAACCUAAAUUCUUUUUAGUAAAGAUCUAGCUUGUACCAUAACAACUUUUAUUUAGCUUAUGUAAUUGUCUCACCUUACUUGAAUGCUCCUUCACUCAGUGUCAGAAAUUCACUCUGAAACAGAACUAGCUACUGGUAAAUUAAUUUUGAACAGGGUUGAUCCAGUCAAGUGGAAGAUACGUAUGCCCUUACCUCCAAGAAUUCAUGGCGAUGCUUCUAAGUUGAUAAUGAAGGACAAGCCUGAUAUACCAUAUAAUGAUAUUGGUGGAUGCAAAUAACAGAUUCAGAAGAUCGGAGAAGCUGUUGAGUUACCUUUGCUUGAGCCAGAGAAAUAUGUGAUUAUUGUUAAGGGAGUAUAUGAGCUGUAAAAGGGGCAUUCGUUUUGAACUACUUGCUCGCAUUUGUCCCAACUGCACAGGUGCAGACAUAACAACUGUGUGCAAUGAAGUUGGAAUGUUCGCAAUUCGUGCUCGUGCUCCAAGGAAAAUCGUGACAGAGAAAGAUUUCCUUAAUGUAGUCAAUAAAGUCAUCAGGGGAUGCCACAAGUUCAGUGCAACCCCAGAGUAUAUGAUCCAAACAGUUUCUUUUUCUCAAUUUCAAAAUCCCUGAUGGAUAACACUUCCACUGUUUUUACUGCCUACGUGGUAUUACUUGAGGCAAAUGUUGAAUGUUCAAAGAAUAGAACGUGAUAUAGUCGUAAUCUUUAUGUAUUACGUAUGUAUUUAAAAGGUUUUGUCUUUUA